UUUGCCAUCUUGAUCCAAAAGGGAUGUGAGCUUGACGUAAACUUCCGUGACCUUUAUGCCAAUGAUGCAGCAUGUGAUAGGCUAGACGUAAUCACACAGAACACAAUAUAUCCUAGCAGGAUAUUACAUGUCUUUAAGGUACGGUAGCUCCUGUCUGUAACCCUAUCCAGCAGUCAAUGACCAAAAGCGCCCUCUUUGGCCUCAUGGGUGGAAUGUUAUUAAUAUUUUUCAUAGUUUCAGCAUCAUUAAUAAAGAUUAUUCUUUAAAACAUUAUGAAAAGAUGGUGUUUCUAUUACAAACAGUUUGGUUAUUUCAGUCCUCUGUGAUGUAUAUAAAGUGUAAUAUUGGCAUGCAAACUCAAAAUUGAAUACAUUUCAACUCAUGGUACAGGUGUAUACUUUUGUUUCAAAAUAGAUUUAAGACUACCAAGAAUCACUCUGUGUAACUCUGAUUUGGCCCGGUGCAGUAAAAUGUUAAAGUGACUCCUAUAUAGUAAUUGUAGCCCCAAUGUAUUUAACCCAGUUAGCAAUGAGCAGGAGCCUGGCAUCCCUCAAGAGUGGUCCCGCGAUGUGCGACAGAUUUUUUUUGCCAAUCUCCUCAUUCACGGGGCGCCUGCGAUAUGCCGCUUUGUCUGCCGUGACUGCCGUUUCCUUACACAGCCCAACUGCUCUUCUCCUGCCCGGCGACACUACGGCUGCCAGUCAGAGGCAAGAUGCUUUUUUAUGUACCCACUUAUUUUGUAUUUAUAGUUUUUUAUUUAAGGUCAAUUGGAUGCCAUGUCUAUUUGAUAAAAGUUUGUGGAAAAGUAUUGUAAAUGAUUGUGUGUGCAAAAUAUAUCAGAUAACAAGGGCCAGUCCUGGUCACCUGGAUCCACAGGUUACGACAAAUCAAAUCCAGUCAAAUCAAAUGUUAUUGUCAUGGACUUGCAGGCUUCUCAAAAGCGACAUAGUAAUCAAAUAAGUAACAUAGGAAAGCAAUCAAAUAAGUGACAUAAAUAUAACAUACUUAUAAAAACAACUAAAUAAACUAAAUCAAGUACAAGAGGCACGCAGCUAAAAGGAAAUAAGAUGUAAACAAAAAUAAGAUUAAAAGCGAUAUCCUAUAGGGAUAUAGAAGCUUUGUUUGCCCAUGUGCAUAGUGAGUGGGAUAAUUACAGUGCAGUUGCAUCAUAGAAUUAUAUGAACGUAUAUACAAUACAUUAGUAGUGCAGUAAGGUGACAUAACUAUUGCAUGGUUCCAGUAGAAUAAACUGACUUCAAUGUGUACAUAAUAUGAGUAAAUGGUAAGUGUGUGGUAGAGUGCAGUAGUCAGCCCAGGGUUCAGCUGUUGGAGCAGUCUUGUGGCUUGUGGGUAGAGGCUGGAUUUGAGACAGGUGGUCUGAGACUUGAUGUUGAACCUCAAUGCAGUGGAUUCCUCUCCCUUGUGCGACGCCGCCUCCCGCCUUCACAAUCGGAUGCCCGUUUUAGCUACUCAGCAUCCCGGGUUGCAGGGUUCUCCUGAAUGGCUC
ensembl:lncRNA